CCUCAUUCAAGGUUGAUAUCGAAAGCAAAAAUACGACAAUCAGUUGUAAUUUGAAUAUUCAUUAUGGCAAUUGUCUCGUUGUUACAUCUCAUUACCCGCGUCUUCCAUUAGGUUAUCGCCGGCGGAAGAAAAGCCGAUAAAAAAAUAUACCGUUUACGCAGCCCAUGAUAAGCGAUACAGUGUACAGAAAACCACGCAAAAAUGGCGAAACCAUCGCAUCGCAUCGUGUAAAACGAAACACUUGAAUAAAUAGGUACCUAUAAAUUUUUUGUAUUUACGUUCCACUUAUCUUCGCUGAUAGCACAAUUUUCAAAAUACAGCUGCACCUGAAUGUUGGUGAAAUGGUGGUGUUUAUGUUCUUCAGUCGGUAAUAUGAUGGUAUACGGCGAUGAAAAAUGUUCAACUGUAUCGUUAUUUCGUUUUAUUCGUACUUAGUAGCGUUUAAUUUUUAUAUUUGUAAUUUCGACGUAAUAAUUUCGGUUUUCGAAAUGGUCGCCAAUAUCGUAGCUUAUUUGUUUUGCGUGUUGUCCCUCAAUUUGGUCGUCGCGUAUUAUUUACAUAUGACCAGAAACAUCCAAGAUGUUUAAUCGAGUGCUGAGUUUUUUCACUUGGAGUUUGGAGUACAUUAUGAUGAAUUGAUGAAUGAUGAUCGCAAUUGUAUAACUGUCAACACUGGCGUUUGUCAAGUGACAAUUUAAUGAAAUCAUUGUUGCAAACGUACUAGAGAAAAGAAUGACGAGAUGAUUCGUGAAAAUGGACCGUGGAUUCGCAUUCGCAACUUGAAAAAAUGAUGGAAAAUUUAUCGAAAGAUAUGUGAAUGGUGGAAUUCGGAAUUUUACGAAUAGGGAUGAAUUUCGAGCUUUAUGCACCUAGAUAUUUUAUGUGUUCAAACUUCGGUUGUAUGUGAUUGUUUUAAUUUUAUUAUUGAAUAAAUGCAUAAUUAGUUA